rnacentral:rRNA from 1 species
UACAGAGGUCUCAAGCGUUUGUUCGGAUUCAUUGGGCGUAAAGGGUGUGUAGGUGGCGCCGUAAGUCGGGUGUGAAAAUUUCGGAGCUUAACUCCGAAACUGCAUUCGAUACUGCCGUGCUUGAGGACUGGAGAGGAGACUGGAAUUUACGGUGUAGCGGUGAAAUGCGUAGAGAUCAUGAAGGAAGACCAGUGGCGAAGGCGGGUCUCUGGACAGUUCCUGACGCUGAGGCACGAAGCCAGGGGAGCAAACGGG